rnacentral:lncRNA from 1 species
UCAUUUAAAGGUACUUGAAACAUCAACCCAUAGUAGGGAUAUAGAAUUUCCAAUAUCAAUUAUAAAUUCAUAAUAAGGAAAUAGUGGAAUGAUAGUAUAAAUCAAGGCUUAACAAAUUAAAUCAUCAUACUCUCAUAAUCAAAUACUUUUUGGACAUAAUUCCAUCUCAACAUCAUACACAUAUCGAAUGACAUAAUCCCAUAGCUCAUGGACAAUAAUAUAAGAUAUAAAACCAUAUUUCCAAUUCAUGGUAAAACAUGUAAAAUCUCAUGUCAAUGUAAUUCAACAAAAAUAC